rnacentral:RNase_P_RNA from 1 species
CCAGCCGGCCGGACGGCCGCUCCGGGUCAUGCCGGAGAGGAAAGUCCGGGCUCCAUGGAGACGCGGUGCCGGGUAACGCCCGGCGGGGGCGACCCUAGGGAAAGUGCCACAGAAAGCAGACCGCCGGCGCAGGCGCCGGCAAGGGUGAAAGGGUGCGGUAAGAGCGCACCGCGCGCCCGGCAACGGGAGCGGCAUGGCAAACCCCACCGGGAGCAAAACCGAAUAGGGGCGGCGCGGGCCUCGAGCCCAGGCUGGUCUCCGAGCCGCCGCCCGGGUUGGUUGCACGAGGCGUCCGGCGACGGGCGCCCCAGAGGAAUGGCCGUCGCGCGGGGCUCCGGCCCCGCCGCACAGAACCCGGCUUACAGGCCGGCUGGUCCC